AACGUAGGAGGCGAGCGUUAUCCGGAGUUACUGGGCGUAAAGCGCGCGCAGGCGGUCCGUUAAGUCGGGCGUGAAAGCCCCAUGCUAAACGUGGGGAGGACGAACGAUACUGACGGACUGGAGUAGAGCAGAGGGACAUGGAAUUCCGGGUGUAGCGGUGAAAUGUGCAGAUAUCCGGAGGAACACCAGAGGUGAAAACGGUGUCCUGGGCUCAUACUGACGCUGAGGCGCGAAAGCGUGGGGAGCGAACGGGAUUAGAGACCCCGGUAGUCCACGCUGUAAACGAUGCCAACUGGAUGCCUGUUUUCCGAAAGGGAAGUGGGUGUCGGAGCUAACGCGGUAAGUUGGCCGCCUGGGGAGUACGGUCGCAAGGCUAAA
rnacentral:rRNA from 1 species